rnacentral:rRNA from 1 species
GGUGNUGGAUGUUUGUUCNGNCUCUGCGUGUGAACUCGUCUCAAAUUGAUUGGCAGUUGGUAGAUUUGGCUUCGUGUGCAGCACAUUGCACAGCGGCUCCAGGCUACUUCCUUUCCACUAAGCUCANCCAUUGUUUGACCUCGGAUCAGGUAGGGAUACCCGCUGAACUUAAGCAUAUCAAUAAGCGGAGGAAAAGAAACCAACAGGGAUUGCCUCAGUAACGGCGAGUGAAGCGGCAAUAGCUCAAAUUUGAAAUCUGGCUCUUUCAGGGUCCGAGUUGUAAUUUGCAGAGGGCGCUUUGGCGUCGGCAGCGGCCUAAGUUCCUUGGAACAGGUCAUCAUAGAGGGUGAGAAUCCCGUAUGUGGCUGCUUGUCUUCGCCGUGUAAAGCCCCUUCGACGAGUCGAGUUGUUUGGGAAUGCAGCUCUAAAUGGGAGGUAAAUUUCUUCUAAAGCUAAAUAUUGGCCAGAGACCGAUAGCGCACAAGUAGAGUGAUCGAAAGAUGAAAAGCACUUUGGAAAGAGAGUCAAAAAGCACGUGAAAUUGUUGAAAGGGAAGCGCUUGCAGCCAGACAUGCCUGUAGUUGCUCAUCUGGGGAUCUCCCCAGUGCACUCUUCUGUAGGCAGGCCAGCAUCAGUCCGGGCGGUUGGAGAAAGACCUGUGUCACGUAGCUGCUUUCGGGCAGUGUUAUAGGGCAGGUGGAAUACGACCAGCCUGGACUGAGGUCCGCGCAUCUGCUAGGAUGCUGGCGUAAUGGCUGUAAGCGGCC